UUUUUUUUUUUUUUUUUUAUAAUUGGUUACAAGUGAAAAAAGAAAAGAUAAGGAUUAAGACUUGUGAGAAGAGGCCUUUUUUUUUUUUUUUUUGUGAGAAGAGGCUUUGAUUGAUAGAUAUUGAGUUAUAUGUCAUGUCAACCAUAUGGAUUCUUACUUGUAGCACAAAAAGAAGUCUUUAAUAGUUCUUUAUCAGAAAAAUUGUCUUUUGAAAAAAAAAAAAAAAUUAGUGGCACAUUUUCUUUAGGAUGUGAUUUGUGUGAGGCUAAAAUGUGAUUGAAAAAUACAUAAAGAAAAUAUUUACGAAAAAUGAAAAACUUUUGUAAUUAAAAAAUAGCAAUCCAUGCAACACCCAAGAGCCGAAACAUGUUUCACUAAUGGCGUUCUACCAAAUUUUGAAGUAACUAAGAAGAAGAAGAAUCUGAACUCCCACGCAAAAGCCAGCAUAGGCUCCAAGCAAAGGAAAAAACGAAUUUGCCAGGUCAAAGAGACGCAAAAACCUUAUACCUAAUCACUAAUUUUUGCUUGUCAGCCCCAUAUUGCAUUGCAUUUAAGAAAUCAGCGCUCAUAAUUAUCGUGUAGCCUUUCAUGUUGAAUUUCAGAAUGCUACUUAAUAAGAAGAACAAAAAUUUCAAGCAUCUUUAUUAGAACUGCGGCAAAUGUGCUACUUGGAAAAUACAGACAGAGCCUCCAUUGCCGAUAAAAUAAUGCAGUUUACAGAAUGAGCUCCCUCCAUCAGCCUAGUCGGAGCUGCUCUAUGCAGAAGUAGAACACAACUACAAAGAGGUAUGCUCAAAUUCAAGGCCCCCCACCAACCCAUCAAGCAAUGGGAACCUCUAAAGAUAUAAAUGCCAUCUUCUGCAAAACCAGGAACUACAAAAAGCUUUGCCUGUUAAGCUCCUGCUUCUUGAGGGAAGCUGUAAAAUCUGCUUGCUUUACAGAUAAAUCUCCUUCGGGACUACCAUACACUAGUACUGAAACAAACAGUCUCCAGAGCCUGAACUCUAGCACGCCACUUUUUAUUGUAAAGAACCUCGAAUGGUUCUUGAAGACUUUUUACUGAACGAACGAACCAGUUAUUAUUAAUAAGUUUAUUCUGUAAAUUCACAAGUAAUAAAAGACACCGGUACAGAGCUACGAGGCAAAAGAGUGAGAGGAUCGACUAGGUGUUUCAACAUCUGGUACUUCAAAUAUGCAGUCCUUAAUUGACAUUUUGCUGCAGCUCCGCUGUUAUGUCCCUUGAAAUGUUGUUGGUCAGAAAACCCGAUUUGAGAGUUGACAUGCAUAACAUAAAAACAAGUACGUCGUCUGGAGAUGUGGGACUGCAUUAAAGCUUCGACUUGAUAGCAGAUUUUGGAGUUUUGGCGGCCCCCCUUAAUAGCCCCUCUUGUGUCAAGGAUACAGCCAACUGGUAGAUUACGAGUUAGAGAAUAGCAUGCAACUAAGGAAAAAGAUGGGGAGUGAUUCCGAAUAAUAGUUCUGAAACGAUAAAACGAAAGGGAGAACUAUGGUACGAACGCCAAGUGAUUUACCUUUCCAUCUCUGGUAAACAUCUGGCCGGAAACAAAGCCACGUGCAUUAGAAGCGUUAGGGCUUUGGCUCUGCACAGAAUAAAUGAAAUACAAGACCUAUGAUCUAGGAAGCAAGACAAAAAAAUAACUAAACCGUAAAUGUUCAGGCAUAGAGGGACCAAAUUGUAUUGACAUUUUAUGAUACUUACAACAAACAAUAACCAAUCAUCAGCUCUAAAAGGUCUGUGAAACCACAUCCUGGAAAAUAAAGCAGAAUGCGAAGACAUUAUAUGAGUGCUCAAAAUUUCUUCCACAGCAAAGAAAAAGAGACAUUUUUUUUCUGUGCAUAUGUGUGAUUGGCCAUAUUUUUAAUAACAAAAUUUCAAGAACUUUCGCAACAUUUUCUUGUCCAACAUAAUGAUUCCUCCGUUAACCCUGUCUAAAAGUUGAUAUUUUCCCAUAAAGCACCAUUCAGAAACAUUCUUACAAGUUCAAUAGAGAAUUAACUCAACCAGGAAUCAUGGCACCUAGGUAACUUUUUCACGUUACAGGGCAAGAACAAAAAAUCUCUGUUUUAUAACUGCAAUAUUAAUAUUGUCUUGUACCAAAGAUAGGCCAAGAAGACCGAGGUCAUCAAGACCAGCUCUUUCUCUUUCUAAAGCAAACAAAAUGGAACUAAACUAGUACCAUGUUAGUAAGAUCCUUUCUGCUGGGUACCUCAGAAGGCAAUUAUUUAGCUUUUUUAAUUCCCAUAGGGCAAUGCGGCAGUCAAGUUGUAGGAAUCUUUUCACCAAGGAGGGCAUGGUAGAAUUAGGAUAAUACACCAAUAUGGCAAAUUAAUUUUCAAAAGAUUGAAUAGACCUUUUUUUUGUUCUCCAAGAUAUUAAAUUUAAUCAUCCUCGGAACAGUAAGAUUCCUAAAUAAAUCCCAUACAGAGAAUUAGGAAAUGGAUCACUUUAAUUUACUUAAACAUCCAAACCUGACCUAGCAUUAUCUGUUCUUCUCCAGACAAACUAAAACAGUGUUUAAUCCUUCUUCUAGGAACAGUUUCUGAAACUAAAAACAACUUGACAUUUAUGAUACUAAGCUGGUCAGACAAGGCUAGCUAAUUAGACUAAUUCUUACAUUUAAAUAAAGCAGAGAGUAAAGUAUAUUUGCAUUUCUAAAAGCAGUCAUACUGUAAAAGGACAUGGAUACUCACGAAUGGUCCAGACUAAUAGCCGUUGUCUUCAAACCCCUUUCACGAUGAGGAUUUAGACUCACAUUGAGAAAUAUAAGAUCCGAUGCAUAGGCAGCUACACAUCUGUGCUCCAAACAAACCACAGGAUAACAUAAGAAACAUCUCAUUCAAGUGAAACUGAGAACAUUCUAGAAACUAAAUUUGGAAACACUAAACAGACGCUAUCUGAAAAACAUUUUUAGUAAUCAAACUUAACCUGUUCCCAAAAUCUAAUGUUGGUGGGAGUUUUGUGCUUUGUCCCAAAUAAAAAAUGAAGUGCUAUGAAGAAUUUUCUUACCGAUGCAGACCCUGGUCAUCUGAAAGUCUUCCUCUUGCUCUAAACCAGUACUUCAAACUGCAGUACACAGUUAAAAAGGAUCAAAACAACCUCGUAUAGAAUGUCCAAGUAUUACCAUCAUAACUUGAUUCUCUGCUUUCUGUUUUUCUCAUCACUUGUUUAGAUAUUAAAAAACAGAAAAAGAAGGAACUUGGGAUUAACCUUGGAGGAGACCUGUCUUGGUUGGUGUUAGUGUUUGGCUCACAAAACCGAAUCUCUAUUGGCCAAGGCGUAAACGUCGAUGUCGCAACCUUGUUCCGGUAAGUCCUGCAACUAUGUAUAUUAUGGUCUUCUGAAUUUGAUUAUUAACCAUGCAGCAAGCAGUUUUUAUAUGCAAUAUCAUUAUAGUGACUUGUAUGUGAUAUUCAGAGAAAAAAAUUAUUCUGAUAAAAUGACAAACAGUAAUAGUCAUCACACAAUUCUUUGAAGAUACCAACUCACACAAUUCCCACAACUGGAGACCAGCUGAGAAAUAUAAGUCCUCAACUCAGUGAUAGAUGCCUGUAAUCUUCUUAUGUAAAACUGAAGCAACUUUAAAACUACCCAGAGUUUUAUCACCAGGUACAUUUAGAAACCACUAUCUUUGGGAAGUGUAAUUGAAGAGACAAAUCUGACCUUGGAAGGCGGGGAUCAGUUAGACGCCUCUCUCGUAACUCUUCCAUUGAUAAAAGCUGCAUCAAGUUGGAGUUACACACCAAAAGGGAAAUAUUAAAGAAACUGAAAAAUAUAAGUGUAUCUUAGCUUACCACAUCUGGAUCGGGAACAGAAGGCAUUUCUGCUUCCUGGUGGUCAAAGCCUUCUUGUUCUUUCUGUACAAUGUUUGAGAUAGUACAGCAUUCAUACAUUCACUUGAAAGAAAAGAAGAAGAAGAAGAUGAUACAUGCAAAGAAUUUAACUAGUUCAAACAUAAACAUUGUGCACAAUUAUUUUUGAGUAAUAGGUUAGAACCCUGGAAGCCAAAAUUAGACUCAUACUAUUUCCCCAUUUUCUUUUACAAAUAAGAUACCAGUAUUAUCACAAUAAGCAUUCCAUUUAAAACAGAUAUUCUUACAAGUUCAGCAAAAAAAGUUCAUCCAAUACUUUAUGCCUGUAGCAAUUACCUGCCAACUCCAAGAAAAUCUAUAAAACAACAUUUAGUGCUAUAUAAUCCAUGAAGAUGUUUCUAAGCUUGGAAAUCCACUAACGCUAAAACAACUGAUCUGAUGUCCCAAGAAGUAAAAACACACAUAAUCACUUCAGCAUACAGAUAAAGCAAUCAGCAAAACUAAAUAAAGAAGUUGAUAAACAAGUCCCACAUUACAUCCAACACCAAGUGGAUAACGUUUUUCUUUUGACUCUCAAAAGUGGAUAUAGAAAUAGCUAUUACUUGAUACAAUGUGGAUCAGAGAAAAUAUCCAGCAUUUGCAAUUUUUUUUCUUUUUCUUUUUUUUUUUUGGCUUCCGACACUCAGUGAUAGUAUAUUAAUAAUCCAGUAUGUAACCUUCAGUUGAUUCUCUAUACAGCCAGAUAGAUUGUUCAGGCAGCUAGAACUCUAUGUAAUGAUAGAGGACUCAUAAAGAGUGAUUGAUGAUGAAAUGGACUCUGCCCCCAAACGACAACAAGAUUAAAAUUAAAAACAAAAUAAUCCAUUCCCGGUUAUUUUCAGGAAAUCAAACAAUAUGGUCUAAAAAGAUAUCAAAAGAACUUCUCUUAAGAGAUAUCUACAUUGAAUUUUUCAGGACCCAGAUUUAUAAUUAUCAAGAUAGCAGAUGGAAUCUACAUGCAUUCACACAUGCAGCCCUAAAUAUCACGUAAUAAAUAAUCUAUCAUGUGUUUUGCACAUUGUUGAUUCAUCAGAACAGCAUUGAUGCCCUCACCUGAAAUGAAGCAACCAAUAUAAACACCACAUUUCCAUGUUGAAUUGCAUCUACCCUUCGAGUAGCAAAGCUCUUCCCAUCACGUACACGGUGAACAUGAUAUAUAAUUGGGACUGGAAAUGCAACCAGAUUGCUCUUACAUUAUUGUUGAUUCAACAGUUUAGUGUGAAGAAAAUAAUGUCAAAGCAUACGAAAGGACUAUGUUUGCCUGUCUAGGUGAUUGACUCAUUGUCCAUCAGAUAUUUGUUUUGAUGGUUGAUUACAUGUUGGGCAAAAUAAAUAAUCACCCCAAAGCUAAGCAGCCUUUAAACAUGAUCUUUUGAGGGGGUGGUAAACAAAAGAAAAAAGAAACCUGAAAAAACAGUAUUUCAAUUUGUAUCACUUCAUAGCAUACAAUUUGCAUAGACUUACAGUUUCUUUCUGAAAAGAAUAGAUUUACCAUCUAUAUGGCAUAUUACAUGUAGAGGGUCUGGAUAGAGAUGUUACUUUAUGCCGCUAAGCACUGAGCCGGAAUCAACCUUCUUAAAAGAUGCAAAUGAAGGUCAAGACAAGCAUUAAAAAAGGAGAAUGCUUUCAUAAAUAGGAGGCUUACUAUCCAAAUCUCCGAUAAGAAGGAAGUAAGCAUGCAAACUAUGAACAACCUUGAGACAGUCCACUGUUUUUGUUGCUGCAGCAAGUGCCUGAAUGUUUAUCCAAUACAUGAAUCCAAGUCACUUAAAAGAAGUAAAGAAUCCCCUGGUUUAAAGCUGUGAGAACCACUGCUCAUGUUUGUCCCCCAAGAAUAGGAAUGUCGGAAGCUAAAAAAUUAGAUACAGAUCUAAUUUUGACUCAUAAUUGCACAAAGCAGGAAUGCUACAGAUACCAAGUUUCAGAAAUUGAGGGCAUCAAUUGGGAGACAGCAUAUAUUGCGAAGUGGUGCUUUAACUGAUAUCUAAGGUGGAAAGAAAAGACAAAAAUCAGUCAUUAAAAGCACCCCAAGGACAACUUCUUGUUAUUAUCUUUUUGCAGCUCAAAAAUCCAAAGGAAAAGUCAAAAGCAAAUGAGAACACCUCUAACAGACCAUAAUCAACUGAAAAGAGGCCCUAAAUAUUGUUUUUAUAGUCCUUGAGACUAAUGAACUUCUCAUGAAGGCAUUUUCUAGAAUAUGAUAAUUGAUAAUCUUGCAUUAAUGCCAGAUGAAAUUUUUUUGGACCAUUUAAAGCGAAAUACAGCCAACAAAACCAGGACUAAGGGGAAUAAUUUUAUACAUUUUAUACGUUCCUCAAAUAGGCCAGCAUCACCACUUUAAAGUUCCAAAAGUGCAUAUACAUUAUCAAGAACCAUUCGGCAACAUGUUUCACAUAAUUGAUAACCUUUUUCUUGGAGACAGCAGUCAAUAGAACCCAUGAAUGAAAAAGUAAAUGACUCGUACCUGUCCAAUAAACUGGCCUCCAAAUACUUUCCCAAAUUUUGGAGCAUCAGGUAAGGUGAUCCCUCGAAAGAUGUUCACCUUCAGAUAGACACCCAAAAACUUGAGGGUUAAAUUCUUUCAACACAUAGUUCUUCUAAACCAGGUUCUGUGAACCACGUAGCAUGAAAUUGUAAAGCCAUUAUAUGAUUACAAUGUGACAAGCUAUCCAUGCUUCAUGUCUAUAAUAUGGUUUCCUUUCUUAAAUAAAUCCAUGUCAUAUACCAAUACAAAUAAGAUGUUCAAAGUAAUUAUUUCUAUGUUCAAACAAAGUGUCUACCUCCUCUGAACUUUUCUCUGUAUGUGCAAUAAAUAUGCCCAUUGAAGAUGAAAGGCUACUCCAAUUAUGUGAUAGUAGUUGAAAAGAUUUCAAAGUUAAUGGAUCAAGUCCUCUCCACGUGAAUCAAAUAACAGUCUCAAAGUAUCAAAUUUUAUCCUCUCUGAAAUGUUUAAACAGUCAGGUGCAUGAAUUGGUUUUACAUGUUCCAUGAAUUAAUAGUCCAGAAAGACAAUGCUCAGAUAUUAAAACUACUCACUUAUGCUCAAAAUCUGAUAUAUCAGCGUGUGAAUACUCUUUUACACAAUUUUUGGCUUAAAUACUAUCAUUUGCAUAUUUUUGGCAAAUUUUCCCCUGAUGAUUAUAUGCUUUUCUAGAACUGAUUAAAAUUCAGCACCAUAUAAGCUGAUGAAAGAACAUACUUCGAUGGGAUCCAAAUGUAAUACAUGCUCCACAAGUGGACAAUUUUCUAUUGCUUUAUCUGCACUCCAGAUUGAUUUAGUCUGCAGCAGAUUACCAUGCUCAUGAGGAAGCACCAAGCAGGUAAGCUGCCAUGAAAAGACAGCAGCAUUAACUCAUGAAUGUAGAAGCUUUUUGGAGGCAAACAACUGAAAAGAUUUAUGUCAGUGCCAAAGAAAGGGAUAAAGACACAAAAGCUUCAGUCUGGUAGAAAAGGAACUACCUUUGACAAGGCAAUCACUUCUGCAUGUUGAUCAGAUAAUAGAGUACCUGAAACAAUACCUUAGCAUUGUCACGUGAUCUCUAACACAAGGCCUAUAUUUGAAGCUUGGGCAUGUCAAUAAAGACAUCUAAAAACAAAAACUUCAUAAUAAAACAUAAAUGACAAUAAGCUUUAUCAGAAAUUAUGAUGUAACCAAACAAAAUAAAACACGGAUUUGUUGAAAUGCCUCAACAGGGAAACCAGCUCCUCACCAUGACCAAAAAAGUCAUAACGUUUCAACUGAAAUUCAGGACGAUUUUCAUCUUCAGUAUGAACCGAGCCAGAGACUUCAGCCUGCAAUAAGAUAACGAUAUAUAUGAUUAACAUUGUGUCAUCAGCUAAAAAAAUUCCACGAAAUGAUAGUUAUAAUUACCUCUCCAUCCCAUAUGAAAUAAACUCCAUCCCCAGGUUCUCCUUCGCGGACAACAUAAUCUCCACGAUCUUAAAAUUUAAAAACACAAAAAUUUUCAAUAUCCAAAAAGAUUAAAAAAGAAAUAUGCACGAAAAAUCUUACUCAUUCGGGAAAAGUGAAAUGCACAAAACCACUUUGUCGGAUCGUCCUUGGAAAAUUCUCAAAAUACGAAAGUUAUGUACCAUUUUGUCAGUACUCAAGUUUCCCUAGGCUCCACCUUAACUGAUUGCAGAAGGCUCACCCUCCUUCCAGAAGCAACCACCCUCCUCUCCCACCAAGUCUCGGUAAGUGAUUGAAUAAAGCAACAAUACCAAGAUGCUUGUUUAAAACUUUGUGUUAGGAGCAACCAUUUUAAUACCAAUGCUUUUGUCCAAAAUUAUAUGCAUAUAACCACAUUGCAGACAAACUAAUUCACCUUAAGCUAACAGAAAAAAGGGGUUGACUGUAAAUAGUUUACUCAUGCAAAAGAUAGAGGAAAUCACCAUAGUGUUUGACGGUAACAACUUGGGCAAUCCUCUUGAGAGAAGAGCUGGGAAGCCUCUGCAGCAAAGGCACGCAGCCCAAGAACUCGAUCACUGUACAAGUAAUCAUUUUUUAAAACAAAUCAACCAAACCCACAAGAAGAAUUUCAAUUUAAACCACGAAUUCAACACUUUAAGAUUGAUAAAGUUGAGAUUUUUGGUGACCUGAUUCAUUGUCCAUUCUUGAAUGACACCAGAAUUCUGGUCAAACCCAAUUGCGAAAAGCAAAUAGAAUCUGAUAUUUACACAGAAGCUGAGAAGAUUGAAGACUGACGAAAUUGGAUUGGCGCGCGAAUAUGGAACUUUAUAGGAAAACAGUUAACGAGGGCAGCCGUGAAAUUCACCUAUGACAUUUAUUCGUUGUGCCGAACUCUGCCAACUAUUCAAUCAAUAUAAACGUGCGGUAAUGUAAAUACUCGUUGAUUAUUUUAAGUAAUUAUAGAUUUAUUUUGGAUAAUUAAUUUUUGUGAUGUUACUUUUUUUAUAUUUUAAUUAUAAAUUUUUUAAUGAAAAAAACUAAAUUUUAUAAUUAUCUAAACAGUAACUUUUGAUGAAUCAUUUAAAAAGUAACUUUUGCUGAUUUUGAAUAUUCAAGAACAAGUUUAUCUUCGUUUUUAUCGAAAACAAUAAUAUUAUUAUGGAACGAAAAAAUAGCAGUUAUACAUGCCUAUAAAUCUUCUGGUAUUGUUAAAAAGGAGAAACAAACGUUUUUAUUCCUUUUGAUCAUUUCAUAAGUAGCUGUUUCAUAUUUACUGACCAAAUUCAAGUUAAAAGAAUUGUCCCAACUUAUGCAUAGGCUAUUUCUUUUGUUAUCAAAAAAGAUUUUUUUUUUUUUUUAAAAAAAAGAGUAACCUUCUUGCUUUAUUAGCAGCAAAAUUGCCCAUUAGUUGGAUACGUCGAGCUGCAUGACACCUGUGGCUGCCGGCAUUGGAUUGCAUGUCUAAGACAAAUAUAAAAUUGACCAAAUCAAACCUGCUGGCUCGCUGCUAAAAAUUUAGGCAGCUUUAUUUUGCAUUUUCUUCUCCUCAUUCGCAAGUCAUUGAAGCUCUUGUGGAAGCUUUUUGACUAAUCUUUUUUUUUUUUUUUGGGUUCAAAAACGCAUAGGAGUACACUACCUGCUAGGGUAGAAAAAAAAUAUUGGCAUGUUUUUUUCUAACAUUAAAUGUGACAAAUUCUACCAAUCAUUUUUUUGUAAAAACUAAUAUUAAAAUCAGAUUCUAUUAAAAAAAUUGAGUGCAAAGUUAACUUGUGGCAAAUUUUAAAAAUUAAAAGUGGUAGACGGCGACACUUAGGGAGGUUAACGAACUUAAUUAAGUUGAACAUCUUAAUGUUCUAACUUGUUUGAUUCUUUAAAUGAACUUAAAUUUUGUUCAAAUUUAACUUAUUUAUUUGUCCAAUCGAGUUUAAACGAAUUUUUUUUAUCGAAUUUGAAUGUUAUUGAAUAUAAAAAGCGCAUAAAAUACUGUUUAAAUUUGACUUAAUUAGUUGAUGAGCCAAAUUCGAACGAACUUUUAUCAAACCAAACUCGAUUCGAAUAUAAAAUAUAUUAGUUCGUCUUUUAAACCCUAGCAACACUGUUAGCACAGGGCGGGAGGCAGCCAUGGCAACUACCACAUUCUUGGAAAACAAACGAGGAUGAAGAAGGAAUAAAUAUGAGGGAUUUUUUCCUUUUUUCCUGCUAUCUUCUAAUUUUGCUCUCAAAGUUUAUGAAGCGUGAGUUUUAUGUGAUUUUUUACUAGAAAGAAUAUGAAUAAAAUUGCAUAGAGGGAUUAAAAAUGCAUGUUUUUCAUUUGUAAGGGACGAAAAAUCAUUAUUACAUUUGUGAAGGACGUAAAAAAAUAUAAAAUCAAUUUGUUAGGGACGAAAAACAUCAUUUCAUGGGUAAGGACAUAAAGGGUACAAAGCCAAUAUAUGAAGAAUUAUUUGUAUGAUUUUCUCUUUAGAUACUCGAAAUAGAAGCUGAAAAAGGCAGUUUAAAGGUUUUAGAUGCUAGCUUUGAAUUAGAAAAGGACGUCUUCUAUCGUUCCCAACCAGAAUAUAACCCUCCAAUCAAUGGGUUCUAGUGCAACUACAAUUUCUUGCACUACAAUUUGAAUUCCAUUAGACAAGAAUUUAUAAACUUGGGUGGCGAAAAAAAUGACUGGUUAGUCUUUACUCUUUAGCAACCUAAGCUGAUGAAGACUCCCAUGCAUACCCAAGAAACCAUGUAGCAGAAUAUCCCAUUUUGGGCACCCAAGUAGCUGAGAUACCACACGCACGGCGUUGCCUGCGGGGAUUUCCAAAACAAAAUGUUUAACCCGUAAUAUGGCACAUACUAGAAUUCCAGAGUCCAUAACUCCUUAAACUACAGAUAAUCCAACCAAAAUCAACAGGCUCCUAUUUGUCAAAUUUGAGGAACUACCAUAAACAACAGUGCUCAUACUACCAAAGCAUGUCAAGCACCAAUUAGUAUACCAUGAGCUUCCGAAUUUCUCAGAAACAAGAACUGUUACCAAAAGUCAACUUGCCGUGCGAUGCUUAAUACGUUUAAAGCACCAAGAACAACACAAUUUGACGUCACAGAUCACAUGUAUAAGUAAAACAGGCCGAAAAGCAAAACAGCCACAUUAUGUCAUCAACUUGACCACCUCAGCCAAUAAUCUAAAUCUGUUGAUUGCAACUCUAAUAAAACACCAGGCCUAACCUAGCCGAGAAGUUGUUAAUGAACUCUUCUCUAAGCUCGAUCGAGUACUGCUCCAGGAUUUCAGUAGAGAUGCAAAACGUAAUUCAACAUGUUUAACCCUCUCCUCUUAAAAUGUAAAGGGAAUGCACUCAGAGUAAGAGAUCAGCCCCAAGUUCCACAGGAUACAUUGCCUCUCCUAGUAUGAUUCAAAAGGAAUUCACUGAAAGUGAGGCAUCACACCUAACAAAUGUCUGCUACCUGACAAUCAUAUCAGGUGGUUGGUUGGAAUAGAACUCCUGUUCAACUAAUAUCAAGUUGGAAGCCAUGUGUAUUUGAUUUCAGAAUAACAAACAUAACAAUGUUGACUCUCCCAACUAUACAAAAACACGAUGAAAGUAAUAUUUCAUACACUUGAACAAGCAAAAAUGUAAAACUUACGGAAAAAAAAAAAGAAGUAAAAUCCAGUACACGUAGCAAUAAAAGUUUUUCUAAAUUAAAAUGUAAUGUAAAUUGUCAAGUAAACAAAACCAAAAGACAAAAGGCAGCCUUCAGAUUAACCAGAUAGUAAGAUUAAAUAAUAUAAUCUAAGCUAUUAAUCUCAUUCAAAAAGAGAACUCUAUGAAGAAAUCCAAGGGCUGUCUGCAGCUCACUUCUUCUUUUCACCACCACCAGCAGCCCUGGGAAUUAGAAUUAAAAUGAAUAUAAGUACCCACAUGAAUCACACCAUGUGGUAAGAAAAUAAAAUAGAAGAUAAACUGUAAGGAUGAGAAAAAUGCAAGUAUCAAGGGCAGUGAAUGGCUGAAAAGAGCAGAUCAUCUCCAAGGAAAACGAUUCAAUGAAUCAAUCAGUAUGAGCCAACGGAAUACUAAUAGAUGCGAUUAAAAUGCAGAAUGGAAAACUACUUAUUCACACUUUAUGCAUUAAAUUCUUCUGUAACAAGUCUAAAUGAUACAAAUAGCUCAUUUACCUCAUCUUGCGAACAACAUUGGACAUCUCUUCACGCUUCUUCUUUGCCCUCUUGUGAGUUCCCAACUUUCUCUUAGCAACUUUAAGUGCACGUUUGUCUUUUCCAACUUUAAGAAGUUCAGUAAUUCGCUUCUCAUAGGGAGCCAAACCAGCAACUUCCCUAAUAAGGCUUCUCACAAAAUGCACCCUUUUGCUGGUUUUCUAAUAAAAAACAACAUGAUAGAAAUAUGAUAAACAGAACAAAUAAUUCAGUAAUGUAGUUCAAGAUAAAGUAAAUCCUAAAAAAAGAGAAUACAUGGUAUGAUUUUGCAAGUAGUUGAAACAAAAAUCCGUGAGAAAUGAAUUACCCCUUUCCUAUCAGAAGGGCGUGGUGCCAACUCUUUCUUGGUCACGACAUGGCCUCUAUUGAGGCCAACAAACAAGCCAGUAUUAGGUUGCUUUGGAGCCAUCCCCUGAAACACAUAGAUCCAAGUUUUACCAACUUCCGAUUGAAUGAUAAAGCAGUUGGUAAGAACCAUACAAAAAUGACAGUCAUCCUAAUUCAAACUCAAUACCAAGCUUUGUAAGAACUACAAAGUACCAAUCAGUUCAACUGCAAAUGAAAUUUGAGUUCAAGCAAUAAUUAGAACUUAAGGAAUUAAAAAUACUCACCAAAAUGCAUAAUAUAGCCCUAUGCUGUUCAGGAGAGUAAGAAAAGAGCAAAACUGGACAGACAAUGCAUCAUCAAAUGCAUGACUGACAUUGCUCUACGUUUGAUUGAAAUGCAUUCGAUAUUGAAAAGUAAAAGACACAAAAAGAUUAAUCCCAAAAACCCCCCCAGACAAUAAUUGAAAAAGGGGGAUAAAAAGCUGGAAUUUUGCUCACUGAAGCAGAAGAAUCAACGGAUAGAAAAAACUUGAAGAACAAGAAUUGAACAUUAUCUAGUGUCAAAACUAGGACCUGAGUUCUCAGUAGAUAAAAACCCUACAAGCAGCUGAUAGAAAUAUGCAACGACGUUAGUAUAUGAAAUUAGUCGCAAUAUCUUAUUAGCUUGCUAGGUAAAAGAAGAAAGAAUCAAGAUGAUGUACCAACGAAGCCGAAGGAGGCCGUAUCAAGGCGGCAGACGGUGGUGGCGCUAAUAUGUAAGUCGGAGAUCUGAGCCGAUGCGGCACUGCUGGCUGGCGGUUUGGGGUUAGGGUUUAACAGCGCAAGAGCAUGUAACUGAAAGUGAGAGGCCAGUCCCUGCUCCCUAAAAGGGAUAAAUUAGACUAGCCUCCCUUGAGGAUUAAGUCAUAUACGAAACUUCCCCUAAAGUUUUGUAAAUUAUAAUUGCAUCCCUAAUUUUUUUUCUUUUUUAAACUUUUGUUGUAUUCCUUGACUCUUAUUCCAGUUAGCUUCUCACUUCUAUAGUGUUUGGAAGCAUUAUUUUAAGAUCAUGAUUGAGAUGCAGUAUACUGUAAUUCUCGAGAACUGCCGAUAAAGCUCGUACAGUUUGAGAAAUAUCAACAUAUAAUGUCCUAAAUAAAACAAAAUUUAACUGUAUAUAUGACAUGUCUAAUACUCAUAAAUCUUGAGAGUAACUCUCAUUCCAAGUCUUGAAUGGUCCAGCAAAGUUCGAAGUAUGUCUAAUACUCAUAAAUCUGGAGAGUGACUCUUGUUCCAAGUCUCGAAUGGUCCAGCAAAAUUCGAACCAGAGGCUAGUAACCGAAAAAACGGAUUCAGCUGAUUUUAAUAUGAAUUGAGUUUUGUUGUAAAUACCUUCUAUAAUCUAUUUAAGAACUUGACAUUAGUUGUAGGGAAAUCUAACUCAAACUUAACCCAUCUAAAUACCUAAUUUUUUAUCAGCGAUAUAUUAAUAUGAUCGAGGCCCCUGACUAAAAAAUCUUGAGAUCAAAUUUCUCUUCUCUCUUCCCACUUUUCAAAACUCAAUCCCCUGCUAGAGAUCUUUUUAAUAUAUAUAUAUAUGAGAGAGAGAGAGAGAGAGAGAGAGAGGUGGAGAUGCAUUGAAAUACAUUAGUUGGGCUUUAGUACAUAUGCUGUUUCAAAGAAUGUGUUAUGUUUUAGUUAAGCCAAGCACCAUUCACAGCAUAGGACUCAAUCGGUUGAACCGGUCGGUCCAAUUUUUGGAGGGGCAUAGUUCCAAUUUUCAUGUCAAGAAUGAGAGCACGUGAACUAGGACAAGAUGUGGUAACAUGGUUCACGGUCACAUUGCGGUUUGGCUUGUUCCAAAUCUGUCGCGGUAUAUCAGUUACAUAUCAGAUGAUACGCAUAUUAUAGCACAUAAAAUUUUUUAAAGAAUCUAAAAAAAUUAUUAAAACUAGAAAAUACCAAAAAAGACACAAUAUGAAAAAAUCUCUGAAUUGACUCCGAGUUGAUUUAAAUAUAUCGGCUGAUACCGUGCAUCACGAAUUUGAAUCGGCUAAUAUCGGCCGAGUCAGAACGAGUCGAAAUCUAAUAAUAUCUGUGAUUUAAAAAUCGGUAUUAUACCUAUUUCCUCCGUUCUGAUUAAGACUCGGCCGAUUCCGAUACGAACCGGCCGAUAUUGCAAACCAUAUGUGGUAAUGAUCCUCCUCUGGCCAGGGACUCAUCUCCGCUUUGCAAAAUCACGCAGUGGACAGCCAAGAGGCAACUACUACUCCGUCCAUAAUGUUCAAAGCUUUUCGCAGCUUCUGCCCUCCUUCAGCUCAUCAGGCUUUCUCCCACAUUAAUUCUAGGGGUGGCAAUUUUCGACACGACCUGAAAACACGACACGAACCUAACACGAAAUUAAUGGGUUUGGGUUGAGGUUUCGGGAAUUCGGGUCAGAAUCGGGUUGAACCCGAUGAACCCGAAAAGAAAACAGGUCGAUUUCGGGUCAACCCGUGAUGACCUGAUAUGACCCGAUAUGACCCGUUUACGAAUUAAAAAUAAUUUAAUAAACAUAAAAAUAAUUUUAUCUAACUAAACUAAGUUAUUCUUUUUUUUCAAAGGCAUUAAUUACUUAAUCCUAAAUGAAUUUAUUUAAUUUGUGUGAAAUUGAAAUUAUUAUAUUUGGACAAAUAAUAUAUUAUAUUAUUUUUUACUUUUAUACUAUUUUAAUUUAUUUUAUAUUUUGUUUUGGAUAAAACACUUUUAUGGUGUUUAAUUUAUUUUAGAUUUGGUUUGGAAUUAUUUAUUUAAAUUUUUAUUACUUGAUUAUGUAAUUAGUUUUGUGAGAAAUUGAUUUUAUUAGAAAUUACAGUGAUAAAUUAAUAAAUUAAAAUUAAGUUUUGGGUCAUUUCGGGUCGACCCGCCAACCUGAAAUUUUCGGGUUCGGGUCAGCAUACCUGACCCGUCACGGGUUGACGGGUCGGGUUCGGAUCAGCAGAUUUUCUGACCGGUCGGAUCAGACCCGACCCGCCAACAUGAUUUGGACCCGAAUUGCCACCCCUAAUUAAUUCAAUAUCUGCAAUUAAUUAGGCAGUGCAAGAAACCAGAGGCAAUAAAUAAAUAAAUAAUAUAUAUUACACACACACACAUAGGCAACUUUGUCCUCAUAGUUGAAGGCUUUUCACAAUUUUACCCACUUGCUGCUGCAUGAUUGCCAAGCUUCAUUUGAACUAAUCCAAUAGUAGAAAUUAAAUUCAUUGUCAGGGCCCGCUUUGCACCACCUGUCUCAUAUGUUGUUCGGCAGCGAUGGCCGGACUGGCCCAAGUCUCCAACGAUCCACGGACAGGAGUGGCUUAUUGCCGUAGCCACAGUUUCUUUGUUUAAUUUUUUUCUUUUUGGUUGGUGAUAAGUGGGGCACGUAAGAACAUUAGAGAAAGCAAAACAACAAUUCCAGACACCUUCCCGCUUGCCCAAAAACAAAUAAUUAUUUCUAGACAAAUUCAUAUCACGAGCCAAGACAAUUUUCUAGACUCCAUGGUCAUCAAAUACAACAACAUUUUCUUUGCUUUUUUGCUUUGGGACAGAGAUUUCACUGCCAUUAUCAUAAAAGAAAAAGUGAAGGAAAAUUAUUGGAAGUUAACUUAUGAAGUGUAAGUUCUCGUCAAAUAUUGUGUUUUACCAGGAUUAAAAUUAUCUACUUAAUUUCCUUAACUUUCUUUCACCUUCUCGAGAAAUCUCAAGAGAUUCGUUCAACAAACCUUAACCCAGGUCAAUCGUCAAAAGCCGGCAACUUUUGACGACGACUCAGGAGACUUAUCUACCCAACCCUUAACACCCCCAGCCGAUGUGGGAUUGAAACCCCAACUCAAUCUCCUUAACUUAAUGAUCUUCUUAUUGGGGUUUAUCAGAAAUAGGCACAUGGGUCUCUAAAUACCUCUAAGCUAUAAGGAUUAAAAAGAAAAAAAAGUCUUGAUGACAUCUUAACCCGCAAAAGAAAAAGAAGUCUUGAUGACAAAGUAAUAAAAUAGUGAGAAUCUAAAGGCAUAAUAGCAGGUAGAUUCUUUCUUGAAGGGUCCUCAGAUUUGAUUGACUGGUGCCAGCACGUGCUUCAUACCAAAGUUCCAAUUAGAAAUAUAUCUCUAUUGUUUUAUGUUCAAUCCUUCGAAUAAACAGCAGUUGUCUUUCUGCUAUCUUUCUCCUUUCUUUCCCUGAUCCAUGUUGUAAAUUUUCCAAUGUGCGUCUUUUUCCUUUGAUGAAUACAACUGUCCGCAGGCUCUGCACGAAUCUAUCACAGAGAAAACACCCUUUAUCCAAUCGUCCCUAUUAGUCCUCCCUCUGCCUUUCCUUGUUUUACCUUUUUACUCGUUUUACUACCACUCUUUUGUUUUUUGUUUUUGUUUUGUAUAUAUCAUUGUUUGCCGGUUCAGACCAGCUUACUUGAUUAGGACCACUAGUUCAUCAUACAUGCUGACAAAUCAAAAAGCUGGAAAAUUGCAAUUGAAUUAUUGAAGUGUGUUUGGUUAAAAUUCAAAUAUUUCUGUUCCUCUCUUCUGGUAAUUUAGUGAUUGUAUCUGCUUGCUCCGUGUUGAUUUAGCUUCUUGCUGUUGAAUUUUGUUUCGGUUUAUUUAUUUGUUAUAAUAAUUUGCCACGCCUUUUUGUCCUACUUAGACUGAUAGACAGCUAAUGAUUUUUACAAUUUCUCUGAUGUUGGGUUGAGUUUUUCGCAUCGACCUGAACAACCCUCCUUUCUAUUGUGAUUCUAGAUACCCAAUUUAACAUGAUUGAUUGGUAGCCACAGAUGUCAGUUGCAUGUUGCAUUCCAAUUCUAGAGUGCGUGUAUUGUUUAGCCUGUGCUCGUUGGGUGUGGAAGAAGUUCCUCUAUACUGCAGGGAGGGAAAGUGAGAAUUGGGGCCUUGCUGCUGCUAGUGAAUUUGAGCCUGUACCUAGGCUUUGUCGAUAUAUAUUAUCUGUAUAUGAGGAAGACAUUAGAAACCCCAUCUGGGCUCCUCCUGGAGGGUAUGGAGUCAAUCCCGACUGGAUAAUUUUGAAGAAAACUCAUAUAGAUACUGGAGGGAGAGUAACUCCUUAUAUGAUCUACCUUGACCAUUACAAUGCAGAAAUAGUGGUGGCUAUCAGGGGACUUACUCUGGCUAAGGAAAGUGAUUUUCUGGUCCUUUUUGAUAACAAACUCGGGCAAACAAAAUUUGACGGUGGAUAUGUUCACAAUGGGCUACUUAAGGCUGCUCAGUGGGUUUUCGAAGGUGAUUCUGAGAUUCUGAGAGAACUAUUAGAGAGGUAUCCAGAUUAGAGGUUGACAUUUGGAGGGCAUUCGUUGGGGGCAGGAGUAGUCACAAUGUUGACCAUAUUAGCUAUUAAAAAUCUGGAGAAGCUGGGGAACAUUGAAAGGAAACGGGUUAGAUGUUAUGCAAUUGCCCCUGCGAGAUGCAUAUCACUAAAUUUGGCUGUCAGAUAUGCAGACGUCAUCAAUUCAAUUGUGCUGCAGGUAAUACUGGUCUUUGCCCCGUUACUUCUGGUUGCUUAGCCUAGUAAGGUAGCGUUGAGCAUCCUCUACUAAGGAGGUUCAAAUUUUUCUAAUGGUGUAAAGCAUUUAACUUUUUCGAGAAAGUACUACAUCUUUAAAUAAGGAGGUUCAGAAAUACGCUUAUACUAUCCAUUGCAACUAAUACCCUUCAGCCUUGUACUUAGGUAUUAAAAAAAAAGAGAGGAGGGAAAGGGUUAGGCUUAUGUUACUGUUUAUGUUGACUUGAGCUCCGCACUGUUAGAUUCUCUUCCUUGUUCAACUCUUUCUACUUGGAAGUUUAUGAUUGUUGAUGCCUCAGGAUGGAAGUUUGUAUAACAUCUUGAAGUAGGGUAUAUGAGCUUUAUUCAGCAUUCUCUUAUGACUAGUUUGAUUCUCUGACAAAUGGGUAGUAAAACUGCACAAGCAAAUGGGUAGUAGGUCCGAGCCAUUUUAGGCAUGGAAGGGCUAGAUGUAAGCAGCAUGACUUGUUGGUAGAGAGAUUAGUUCAGUAGAUAGACCUGUUUGGAGUUGAAAUCAUUAUAAAGCCACUGCACCGAUCCUCAAGGCUCACUUUGUUUCUUCAGCAAUUAUGUAAAUGGGUCUAAGUAUUUUGUGAAAGACUUAAAAAGUCAUCAGCAGGCAAAUUACAAGGUUUAGUCUCUAGGAUAGUUUAAAGACUUGGUAAUGGUCUACAGAAAGUAAACCUGAUUAAUGCCCCAGAUGAACUGAAACUGAAUUAGUUGUCUUUCUGAGGUAGGAUAUGGUCACUAUACAUGAUUCUCUGUGGAAAAUUAUGUUCCAUAACAUAAUUUCAAGCUGAAUAGGAGAAAGGAUCUGCAAGUUUAAGCAUUCUUCCUGCUAUCCAUUUUUUGAAUUGCCAAUUCUGUGCUAAUAUACUGUUCCUAAAUCCUUAUUUAUUUUUAAAAAUCAUGCAUACAGAGAGAGGGCAUUCUCAUGUCCUAUCAUAUUUAUCUUGUGUCACAUGUCAUGCAUUUUGCCUAUUGUUUACCUUGGUAGGUCUUGAAAGGCAUGCCCUGUUACGCAAAAAUCUUGAAAUGCUAUAAGAAAUCAUGACGGUUUCUGAAGAUCACAACUGUGAACAUGGAAGGCCAUGUUACACACUGCAAGCGUUUUAAUAGGAAUUUACUUUGGAACCUGAUGGAUAAUAUGAGUUGCAGUUUUUUUUUACAUCUUGGUAGUCUCAACCACAGAGAACUGAUUAUGUGCUGGUUAAAACAGAAUGUGCUUUCUUUAUAUGACAAAACCUUUGCAUGAGGUCGGAUUACUGGUUUAUUAAAUGCAAGAAUUUUAUUUCAAUUCUGCUAUACAAUGGUUCUCCUUUUAGAGCAUUAACAAUAAAAAGGGCAUGCUGUGAUUAACGAGUGUAUACCUUUUAAGUUUCUUCUUAUGUUGUGUGUUUUACUUUUUCCUUCUCCUUCUAACAUCUCUACUAUCUCAUAACUCAAUGUUCUGAUAGUUAUUUUAUUAAUAAACUAGGACGAUUUCUUACCUCGGACAACCGUAGCACUUGAAGAUGUAUUCAAGUCAAUUUUCUGGUAAAAGAUUGUAGGUCUUUUCUUCUUUCAGUAUUUAUCUUUCCAAUAUUUUAGAUAUCAGUGCCAUCUCAUACUGAAUUGCGAAGUAUUUUAAACAAGCCAACUACUUUUUGCUUGAAGUGGUUUUGUGCCAUCUUAAUAGUUCAGCACUUCAUGUUUCUGCGCUGCUAAGAAAUGAUUUUUAUAGCCAAAUACACAGCUGGAAAAGUUUACACUCUUUGGUUGUGCUUUUAUAUGGACAUGCAACACUAUGGACUUUUGAUUUUCCUUCUGAUGUCUUAUACAUGGGUGAUAUGCCUAUUGUUUUGACUCCUUGACUGGAGAAUUCUGAUACUGGUUCAGUCAUUGAGCUUUUAUACAUGACUACAUGCAUAUGGGUUCAGUAACCAAUUGAGUUGGCAUAUAACCUACUGUUUACUUGAUCAUUGACUUGCCAUUUUGAUUUCCACUCUCUUGAUAGUUUCCCAUGCUUGCUGUGUAUAAUGUGCUUGAAAGAUACAUGUACAGUGGAGGAGAAAAUGCUUCAAGAUCCAAGGCGCCUGUAUGCUCCAGGUCGUCUGUACCACAUCAUCGUAAGGAAGCCCUUCAGGUAUGUUGUCAAGUAUAUGUUUCCAGCUUUGAGUUACUCCUGGGCAUGAAUGAUAAAGUCGAACUCCUCAGAACAAAGUUUUAGAGGAGGGGAAGGCUGCUGGGGGUUGGAGGGCAAGGAGCAUUGAGGGCUAAAUCUCAAUCACUAUUAAAAUGCUUGGACACUUGCAUCAUAGGAGAUCAAUUAACUUUGUAUUGAAUCUUUGAUUUGCUGCAGCUUAGGAAAAAUUUCGCCAACUGUGAGGACAGCGGUUCCAGUGGAUGGGCGGUUUGAACGCAUAGUUUUUUCUCGUAACAUGACGUCAGAUCAUGGUAUUCUUUGGAUUUUGCAAGAAUCUCGAAGAGCACUUGAUGUAAGUUCUCAGAAUCUUGAGCUUUAUGAUUGGGAUAGAGGAUAACCAUUCAGGUCUGAAGCAUGUUUGUGAAAUACUUGUGAAUCAAUUUGUCCUGGCAAAGAAAAUUACUGCAGAGCUGCUCAAGUAUUCAAAUUUUUGGGCCAUUUGUGACAUUUCAAAAUUUUCUUAAAAUCGUUGGAUAUGGAUUUUGAGAACUAGAAGUGCCCCUUUUUUUUCAAAAAAAUCUUCAUUAUUAGUGUCAUUUGGUGUGGAGCAGGCAGGAUUUUUUGAAUCCACUCCAAUAGGAAUAAAGCCUCACUCUUUCUAAUCUCAACUGCAUGCUAACUAUUUGUUCUUGAAAAGAUUAUUACAAGUUGAGUGAACUGGAAGAUUGAAAAUCAUAGAGAUACAUAUGUGGUUUGUGAUAAGAAAUUAACAAACCUUUGACCGGUUCCCAAAGAGCCAUUAUCUGCUUUUACGUAUAUAUUACUUUUCAGGAAAUAAACUAUCUUUCAGUGGUAUGCAUGGAUUUCAGAUAUAACAGUACAAAACUUCCUGUAGGAGAAGUUUCUAUCAAUGUUUAUGCUAAAAACACUUUUGAAACCAAAAGGAUUUGGCAUUAUUAUCCAUGUAAUCCCAAAGUCAGUAGAUAAAAUGCAAUGCCAUCUUUGCAAUUUCAUAGUCACAGAACUAUAGGUGGAUUUUCGGUGAAUGAAAAUGGACGUUGAAGUGAAGUUUGUACAUACAUUUGUCUGUGUCACUGCAGGCACUGCUUGAAAAGGAGCAUAUCAUGGAUAUCCCAGCAGAGCAGAGGAUGGAAAGGCAGGCAUCUAUUGCCAAGGAACACAGGGAGGAGCACCGAGCAGCACUGCAGAGAGCUGUUGCACUAGAUGUUCCCCAAGCGUAUUCACCCUCAUAUGGGACAUUUCAUGAGAUAGAGGAAGGUGAGAAUUCUCACAGAACUGGAGUCUCUUUUGAAUCCUUUGACAAGAGAAAAAGCUGGGAUGAACUAGCAGGGCGUCUCUUUGAAAUGGAUGGGUCUGCGAGAGCAGUACUCAGAAAUUCAUAGACAUGGAUGCCUGUAUAGUGAUAUGAUAAUGUUCAUUCUUUCAUUCUAUUGAUGUUCCCUGUUAAUGGGAACUUUUGAUGCCUCAGCCGCUCAGUUCAGUAGAAUGCCUGCGUAGUACCGGUUCGACUCGUGGUACAUUUAGAGACUCAGAAAAUUUUCUGGCUCAUGGAUUUUGUGAGAAGACUGCCAGAACUCUUCUCUGUUCUUUCUCUGCUGACAUGCAGCCUAUUUUAAUAAAGAUCCGUUUAGUCUGCGACUACUAAGACAGAUAAAUCAGAAACCUCUCCAUGUCAAACUCAUUAAUUUAGUAACAUUUCCAGCAUCAAAGCUAGGGGCCAAGUACUUAGCAUCCUGACUCUUUUCUUACUCACAGGGCAAAGAUAUAAAGAGCAAAUUGUUUGAAGAUCUACGGGUGUUUGAAUGGUAAGAGUUUAGCAAAUGGAUGAUAAGAAUCAUCUCGUCCUCAACUGGACGCACCAACAUAAAUAAUACUAUCAAUUUUCCAAACUUGCAAGAUGGCCAAUCAUUCUGGAGUCUUAGAUGAGUUUCUCGAGUAAAGAAUAAACUAUUCGUCUAAAAAGUUCAUCAGUAUAUCAUUGCCACAAGAACAAAGGAAAGGGCAAAUUAUGCCUUUAAUUGGAACUGCACUACUUGAACGGUACUAGAAAAUUACAGUAUCAUUUUCAUCAAAUCCAAUUCGCACGCAUACAAAUAUGUUUCGGCAAUUACUGUUUUACUCCCAACUACUGAAUUUCAUGAAUGUAUAUACCAAAACUCAAAUAAGAUUGCAGGGUCUAUCAUAAAUUAGUUAAAACUAAAAGAAUGCAGCUAAAUACAUAAUGCUUUGAUGAUAUCAUACAAUUGCAUUUACAAAAAUGUAGCGCGAC
rnacentral:lncRNA from 1 species